CUGAAGAGUUUGAUCAUGGCUCAGAUUGAACGCUGGCGGCAGGCCUAACACAUGCAAGUCGAGCGGUAACAGGGGUAGCUUGCUACCCGCUGACGAGCGGCGGACGGGUGAGUAACGCGUAGGAAUCUACCCGGUAGUUGGGGAUAGCCCGGAGAAAUCCGGAUUAAUACCGAAUAAUCUCUACGGAGGAAAGGGGGCUUCGGCUCUCGCUACUGGAUGAGCCUGCGUCGGAUUAGCUAGUUGGUGGGGUAAAGGCUUACCAAGGCGACGAUCCGUAGCUGGUCUGAGAGGAUGAUCAGCCACACUGGGACUGAGACACGGCCCAGACUCCUACGGGAGGCAGCAGUGGGGAAUAUUGGACAAUGGGCGAAAGCCUGAUCCAGCAAUGCCGCGUGAGUGAUGAAGGCCUUAGGGUUGUAAAGCUCUUUUACCCGGGAUGAUAAUGACAGUACCGGGAGAAUAAGCCCCGGCUAACUCCGUGCCAGCAGCCGCGGUAAUACGGAGGGUGC
rnacentral:rRNA from 12 species